AGAUCUACCUAGCAGGGAGAGGCAGUGAUCACAAAGGUAGUUUUCCCAGGGUGAGUCCUGUCCCGUGCACUCCAGGCAGGCUGACUCUUGUGAGUUUCCUCAGAACAGGAAAACUGAGGAAAACUCAGAAUGGGAAACUCAAGUGAUCAGUUUUGCGGUAAUGGGGGACGACUUUCCCUCU
rnacentral:snRNA from 1 species